rnacentral:rRNA from 1 species
CAGUAGCCGCGGUAAUACCGAGGGUGCGAGCGUUAAUCGGAUUUACUGGGCGUAAAGCGUGCGUAGGCGGCUUCUUAAGUCGGAUGUGAAAUCCCUGAGCUUAACUUAGGAAUUGCAUUCGAUACUGGGAAGCUAGAGUAUGGGAGAGGAUGGUAGAAUUCCAGGUGUAGCGGUGAAAUGCGUAGAGAUCUGGAGGAAUACCGAUGGCGAAGGCAGCCAUCUGGCCUAAUACUGACGCUGAGGUACGAAAGCAUGGGGAGCAAACAGGAUUAGAUACCCGCGUAGUCCCUGUCUCUUAUAC